CGCACAUUGCGCCCGCUAGUAUUCUGGCGGGCAUGCCUGUUCGAGCGUCAUUUCAACCCUCAGAUCCCCCUUUCGGGGGGGAGCUGGUGCUGGGGAUCAGCGCGUGCGCGGGGCCUCGCCUCACGCCUGCUGGCCCUUAAAUACAGUGGCGGUCUUGCUCUGGACUCCCUCGCGUAGUAAAUCACCUCGCCUGUGGAAUCCUGGCCUGGCCACGCCGUAAAACCCCCAACUUUUUUAUUGUUGACCUCGAAUCAGGUAGGAAUACCCGCUGAACUUAA
rnacentral:misc_RNA from 1 species